rnacentral:misc_RNA from 1 species
ACUGUAAACUUCCGGCAAAAUGGAAACAUUGAAUAGUUUGACAGGCCCUAUUGUUUUAGCCCGUACGCGUGCCCCUGACCUCGAAAGUGUUCGAAAACUCAACUGCUGGGGAUCAGAGAUAGAUGAUAUCAGCAUUGUACGGCAGAUGCCAAAUCUAGAAAUCUGUAGUGUCAGUGUAAAUGACAUAACAACACUCAGAGACUUUGAAGAGUGUGAAAAUCUGCAGGAACUCUAUAUAAGGAACAACAAAAUACAGAACUUAACAGAUAUUUGCUAUCUGAAAGGAUUGGAGAAGUUGCGUAUAUUGUGGCUGGCAGAUAACCCAUGUGCAAACAGAGAAAAUUACAGAUUGACAGUGAUAAGAAAUUUACCUCAUCUGCAAAAACUUGAUAAUGUUGUUGUAGAGGAUGAGGAAAGAACUGCUGCCAAAGAUCAAGGGGAGGAACUCUCACUGCCUGAUCCAGAUCAAGGGAGUGAACAGAGUGAAGACAAAACAGUAAGCAAUGGGGAGACAACCCCUGCUGGAGAUGCAGAAAGUAAAGAGGCAAAAGCAUUACCAAAAGAUCCAGUCACUUUAAGCUGGGAAGAAACAAAUAAAAUCCGAGAACAACUUGGUUUAAAACCGUUACCCAUAGAGAAAAUUGGUUCCCCAAAAUCGGCACCAACUCAUUCUACAAGGACAAGAAAUGCCCAUGUGUUACAAGCUGUGUUGAUUCUUGUAAAAGAGCUUGACAGAGACAGUCUAGAGAUAGUGGAAACUGCAAUAAGAAAGCGAAUUGAAACUUUAUGAGAUUAUAGUAGCCAGAGAUAGAUAAUCCUAAGUCUAACCAGAUAAGCAUUUAUCAAGGUAAAGGUCUCUCUGUAAUGGCCUUGAUCUUUCCAGUACUUCUGUUGUUAACAUGUGACCUUGUUGUGUAUUAAUACUGUUAACGUUAAGGCUUGGAGUGGAGAUUGACAGUAUGGUAAGUGUUCUAGGAAGGUGUGGUAGGUUGUUUUUUUUACUCGGAAGUUGAUGAUCUUUGCAAAAGAUAUGGUAGAGAUUUUGAAGAAGGAACUGUAGAACUUAUGUGUUAUUGUUCCCAAAUAUUUACAAAGAAAAUGUAAAGUGUGAUAUACAUGUAACUUCCUGCCAAUACUUUCAUGCUCAUGAAAAAUAUUUAUAUAUCUUUCAUUAUUAUUUUUUGAAUUCUUUUGAAUGUUUAACAUCAUGGCCUUUUUUCUCAACAUUUUACCAUGUUUAACUGCCUUACCAUUAAAUGUCACCCUACUUCUCUUGAGACAUAUGACUGAUAUAAUGCAAUAAAAAAUAAUGGUCUAAAUCACCUGUCUGAAUUUGCUAAGUAGAUGGACUUGCAUGAUAAUGAAUUUGGGAUUACACAUGAUCAGAUAUCUCAUACACAUAAUGCCUUUAUUGAGAAAAGUUUCCAAAGUUUUGACUACACAUCUUGCUGACAUUAUACCAGUGUAUAAAUAUCAUGUGAAUUAGAAUGUGUUAGCAGAAAUUGUGAACCUGAGAAAUACAAUGUCAUCAGACUGAGGCUUAUAUUAUUUUUCAAAGGCUCGCACCUAGUAUACUGCAUAGGAUACUGUAAAUGCAAAUAUUUUCGCUGGGUCAAAAUUUUGCGAAUUUGAAAUUUUGACCAUGUUUGUGAGGUUAAAUAUUCGUGAAAUUGUAAAAAUGGUAUCAUACUUGAAUUUGAAGUAUAUUAAUACUAAUAGUGAAUAUUAGCGAGGGUUAAUUUUUGCGAGAUGUAGGGCCUCGCGAAUAUAGCAAAAACCCUCGCGAAAAUUUCUGCUUUUACAGUAUUUAUUUUGUUUUAUGGAAGAAUGUGAUGAUGACAAAAUUAGUGAAAAGUGUUAGAAUGUUCCAAAAAUAUAUAGCAAAUGAAUAUUUGAAAACCUAAUGUCUGUUACCAGAGAUAUGUGCUGUUUUAGGUGUGUAACAUCAUAGUGUUACAUGGCGAAUAUUAAAAAAAAUUGAAACUGCUGCAGAAUAAGAAUUUAUUUUGAGAUUUAUAAUAUGAUUUGACACUAUUUUGCAAAAGAUCUCUUUUAUUGUCACAUGUUCCCUCCAAGGUAAGUUGGUUUAUCUGACAGAUGAAUGUGUACUGGUAGUCAGUAAAUUUACCCUGUAUUUUUAUUUGAUACAUUAAUUGUUGUUACACUUUUAUUCUACAAACAAAUAUGUUGUAUUUUUUGUUACUGUGAUAUUAAGCAUAUAAGUGUGCCUCAGAUAUAAAGUGUGUUACCUGUGUAAGCUGCCUUAGAGGGACCCGUAGUGGACCUCUGUUAUGUAAGAAUGGGGUUAAAAAUAAAAUUCUAUUCCUGCAUUUUUAAUAAACAUGCAGUUGCUUAUAUAUAUUUUUACAUUUUUUACAGUUGAACUUGCCUUAUAUACCUGUAGUAAACAGCCAUCUGUCUCUAGCAGCCAAAUUUUGUGAUUUUCUUGGUUUGCUGCUUAGUAUAGGUUUGAUUGUAUUUCAUUAUUAAAGCUUAAGCUGA